rnacentral:misc_RNA from 1 species
AACGUAGGAGGCAAGCGUUAUCCGGAUUUACUGGGCGUAAAGCGCGUGCAGGCGGUCCUGCAAGUCAUGCGUGAAAGCUCCCAGGCUCAACCGGGAGAGGUCGUGUGAAACUGCAAGACUUGAGGCAGAGAGAGGCGAGUGGAAUUCCGGGUGUAGUGGUGAAAUGCGUAGAUAUCCGGAGGAACACCAGUGGCGAAGGCGGCUCGCUGGCUCUGUACUGACGCUCAGACGCGAAAGCAUGGGGAGCGAACGGG